ACCAAUCAGAGCCAGGGGGCGGGGCUUAGCGCUAGCUCUGUGUGACGCUGCAGCUAGCAAAGCCCACAGACAGGCGUUCGAAAAAUCCUGUCAUGAAUGCUAGGCUAGCUAGAGUAGCCGCCGAUGACGUCGGAUAAGCGGCUUUCCUGUAACGGCAAGUUGUUUCUUCGCCAUUAGCAUAUUGCCUUCAUCAAAGAUGCAGCCUGUUCACAGCAGAAACGUCAAUGCCCACACCUGCUUGGGUGGCGAGUGUGAGGCAUCGCUGCCGAUUGGCUCCGUGGAGCCAGACAGAGAGACCGAUGAAGUGGGAGGACGGACAGAAACCCGGCAGGAUGCAAAAAACUGUUCUCCCUACAGGCCGUCAGACUCAUCUAACACAAGGAUAACCAAGCAUCUUUGGUUGGUUCUGUCUGGAGUUUGCUGAUGGCCCAAAGCUUGAGAAACAUUCCCAGAUGGGUGGAUGUCAGUCUGUUGUUGAAUUUCUUCAGACUGGGUCGUCAUGAGAUGGUUUUUGAAAUCCCUUGACCUGCUUCAUGCUGCUGGUCAGGCUCUGCUUUAAGCCUGGAUGUGAUAAGUCACAUUAAACUCGGCUUUAGAGGGGAAAUAACUUUUUCACCCAGUCAGGUUGGUUUGGAUAGUUUUAAUUGUU